UCGAGCGAAUGGAUUAAGAGCUUGCUCUUAUGAAGUUAGCGGCGGACGGGUGAGUAACACGUGGGUAACCUGCCCAUAAGACUGGGAUAACUCCGGGAAACCGGGGCUAAUACCGGAUAACAUUUUGAACUGCAUGGUUCGAAAUUGAAAGGCGGCUUCGGCUGUCACUUAUGGAUGGACCCGCGUCGCAUUAGCUAGUUGGUGAGGUAACGGCUCACCAAGGCAACGAUGCGUAGCCGACCUGAGAGGGUGAUCGGCCACACUGGGACUGAGACACGGCCCAGACUCCUACGGGAGGCAGCAGUAGGGAAUCUUCCGCAAUGGACGAAAGUCUGACGGAGCAACGCCGCGUGAGUGAUGAAGGCUUUCGGGUCGUAAAACUCUGUUGUUAGGGAAGAACAAGUGCUAGUUGAAUAAGCUGGCACCUUGACGGUACCUAACCAGAAAGCCACGGCUAACUACGUGCCAGCAGCCGCGGUAAUACGUAGGUGGCAAGCGUUAUCCGGAAUUAUUGGGCGUAAAGCGCGCGCAGGUGGUUUCUUAAGUCUGAUGUGAAAGCCCACGGCUCAACCGUGGAGGGUCAUUGGAAACUGGGAGACUUGAGUGCAGAAGAGGAAAGUGGAAUUCCAUGUGUAGCGGUGAAAUGCGUAGAGAUAUGGAGGAACACCAGUGGCGAAGGCGACUUUCUGGUCUGUAACUGACACUGAGGCGCGAAAGCGUGGGGAGCAAACAGGAUUAGAUACGCUGGUAGUCCACGCCGUAA
rnacentral:rRNA from 1 species